GCCAGACUCCUACGGGAGGCAGCAGUGGGGAAUAUUGCACAAUGGGGGAAACCCUGAUGCAGCGACGCCGCGUGAGUGAAGAAGUAUUUCGGUAUGUAAAGCUCUAUCAGCAGGGAAGAAAUAGCGACCUUUGGGUCGCCAGACGGUACCUGACUAAGAAGCUCCGGCUAAAUACGUGCCAGCAGCCGCGGUAAUACGUAUGGAGCAAGCGUUAUCCGGAUUUACUGGGUGUAAAGGGAGCGUAGACGGCAAUACAAGUCGGAAGUGAAAUACCCGGGCUUAACCUGGGAACUGCUUUGGAAACUGUAUGGCUGGAGUGCUGGAGAGGUAAGCGGAAUUCCUAGUGUAGCGGUGAAAUGCUUAGAUAUCACGAAGAACCCCGAUUGCGAAGGCAGCCUGCCGCAGCGUUACUGACGCUGAAGCUCGAAAGCGCGGGUAUCGAACAGGAUUAGAUACCCCAGUACG
rnacentral:rRNA from 1 species